UGGGGAAUAUUGGGCAAUGGGGGAAACCCUGACCCAGCAACGCCGCGUGAAGGAAGAAGGCCUUCGGGUUGUAAACUUCUUUUACCAGGGACGAAGAACGUGACGGUACCUGGAGAAAAAGCCACGGCUAACUACGUGCCAGCAGCCGCGGUAAUACGUAGGUGGCAAGCGUUGUCCGGAUUUACUGGGUGUAAAGGGCGUGUAGGCGGAGCUGCAAGUCAGAUGUGAAAUCCCGGGGCUCAACCCCGGAACUGCAUUUGAAACUGUAGCCCUUGAGUAUCGGAGAGGCAGGCGGAAUUCCUA
rnacentral:rRNA from 1 species